ACAAUGUCAAAUAGAGGACACAGAUGCACCCUGAGCGCCCUCUAUGGGUUGGCCAGAACCAGCCUGUGGUUGGUGUUCCCUUAUGAGAAAGGAAUGCUGGUCAGUGGCUGCCAACCAACCCCGAAAAGGGGAAGGAAUUCAAUAGCGGUACCAGGGGAAAGAAACUUGUGGAAAAGGAGUUGGAGAAGUAGCGAAUAAAGAAAAUUACAAAUGGAAAAGACGUAGUAAAUGACAAUAUGGAAACUAAGGGUUGAGCAGUGUUCAGUGGUGGAACUGAGAGGAGCAGAUACGCUCAGUCCCGAUCUGGAAAGGCACAGGAGCAUUUCUCUGAGUGGGGUGUGUGUGUGAGGUGGGUGUCUGUCUGUCUGUGUGUCUCUCUGUGCAUGCAUACCCAGGCAGCAAAGCAUUCCUGCUUAUUACAUGACUCUGGUGUUAGCAAUGCCCCAGGACUGGAUUUUAAAGAAUGAGUUGAUGAAACACUAUAUUUUGGAAUACAAAUUGUGAAUCUAAUUUAAAAAAACCCAAGAAGUAAGGUGGUUGAGGAGAUUUCAAGUUCCUGAUUGCUCUUUAGUAAGGAAGAUUUGGGUGAGUCAUAUAAGGAAGCUGAAUGUCCUCAUCAAUUUCAAGAAAAGAUGGUUUGCAUAAUCAGGCCAUAUAUAUAUAUAUAUAUAUUUGCAUAUCAAUGCACAUUAUAUCUCUAUUAUUUGAACUUACGGUGUUUUUUCUUUGUAUCUCUAAAUAUAUUAGAAAUUUUGUAAGAUUAUAUGUGUGUGCAUAUAUCACACACAUAUAAAAGUCAUUAAUAAUAUCUAUUCUAACAUUUUAACUCAUAUCAAAGACAUUUAGGUGAACUAUGUUUUUGGAAUACAAUUUGCCUAGAAAGAAACUUUUGUGAGAUCCCUUCAAAUAUUAUUUUCACAUCCUAAUCACAGUGCGUGAAAUCCAUAACUGAAGUGUUAUGCUCUUCCCCCUUCUCAUGCA
rnacentral:lncRNA from 13 species